CAGGCUUGACGGAUGGAUCGGCCCCGCGCACCAAGGCUCUGCUGACUGCUCGUCUCUAAUUCUUGCCUGACACAGACAUUCCCUGCCCAGGGAAGUGUUUGAUUUAUGUUGAGGUUUCAGUGUCGGGAUUCUGCUGACAGGAGUCAAACUGGGGACUUGGGGAUUCAGAUGAGGAUUUCCUUGCGGAACUACAGAGGAAAAAUGUCCAAGGCCUGGCUUGGACGGAGGGGGUCCUGGUACCCCAGUGCUGAAUGGAAGAAGUGUGGACACAGGCUAAGGAACCUCAUCAUGUCAUGCGGCCCUGGAGUGACCAAGCUGGGAACUGAGCUCAGGCUGUUUGCCUCAAAAACUCAGUUUCCGAACCACCACUUUCUAUUGCCUGAACAAGCAGUCAUUCAGUAAAUUUAGUGAGGACCUGCUCUGGUCAGGCAUGUGUACCACAGGCUGCGGAGAGAAACGGAUACUGUCUCUUUCUGCCCACAAGGAAGCCUGCAGCAUGAGGGAUCUUAGUUCUCCGACCAGGAAUCGAAACCACACCCCCUGCAUUGGAAGCGCGGAUUCUUAACCACUGGACCGCCAGGGAAGUCCGUACUUUCUCCAUCUUAAAGACGGGGAAAUGAGGAGCAGAGAAGUUACACAGCUGGUGAGGAAAUCCACAGAAUGUCAAAACCAGAAGAAAUCUUUGAGAUAAUUUUUUAAAAAUGUACAUCAAGUACAAUUCACUCUUUGUGGUGUGCAGUUCUGUGGGUUUUGACAAUGCGUGACACUGUGUGUCCUCCACCACAGUCAAGAUACAGCACAGCUCUGACACUCCCUAAGUUCCCUCGUGCUGCCAGCUAUCGUUUUAUGCUUUCAUUUCUGCGCUGCAUGACAGCUUUCCUACUUCAUCUCCUCAGCAGCCCUAGGUCAUGGGCAUUCAGCUCUCCUUUGCUCAGGACCACUCAGGUCUCAGUGCCAGCACUGGGAUGUGAACCCAGAUCCACCAGCUACAAAGUUCACAUUCCUAACGACAGCUUUCCAAGAUUCAUGUAUCGAGCGCCCACUGUGCACGUGGUAUUCAUUCGAAUACCCUGUCUCCCCCAAGCCCUCCUCGCACAAGUCUUCCUUGGGAUGAAUAUAAUCUCCUGGGAGGUUGCCUCCCUCUGAAGCUUGCAUCCUGUCAUCUGAAACAGCAGCAGGGCAGCAGGCCCAAGGGAGCGCUGGGCCACUCGGAAGGCCCUCCUCACGGGCCAAGGUGCUUUGUGACCGUGAGUGGAAGGGAGGCUCAGGAGAACGUCUGAGGAGCGAUGGCCUGCCUGGAGGGUUUUUCUCCCCUUCCCCUGGGAACUAGGAUCUGAGGUUUCAAAAUCAGUUUUCAAGCUUCAUCAGCCAAAAAUGUUGUUUUACUCUCAAACGACCGGUUGUCAUCUUCCCGAUCUUCUAGAUCUUUUUUAUAAGCCCUUCUCCUUCCUUAAAGUGACGUGAUGCCAAGACUUUCCAGGCUUAACUUCAGGUGAGGGGGGAGGCAGGCCAUUUUCGAGAGAGCUGAAGAGACAGUAACAGAAGCCUCUCUCCGAGGCCUCGCUUGUUGCUGGCUUCUGCAGAGGAUACAGCCCCAGACAGAUGGGAGAGAGAAGGCUGGUUCCACACUCGAGGUUCUGGUUACCUCAACCCAGGUUUAAACAGAAAAUUUUUAUAAACAAACCCCCUCUGAGAACGGAACAGUAGUUCUAAUCCCUGGCCUUUCAGGAGAAAGCAGAGGCUGGAGAAACUAAACAUUUUAGGGCUGUGGAAAGACAGCCGCUCCCACCCCUGCGUACUUCGGUGACAGCUCUCAUUAUGGGGAGAAACCAGGUCUAGGGGAAAAAAUGUGCUACAGAGUCAAACACAAAUGAUGAACGAUAAUUUCUCAUUAGCUUCAACCCCCUGGGCUUUGGGGGAGGUGGGCCUGAAUUGAGGAAUGAGGGAUAAAAGUGGAAAUUAGCUACUGACAUCUAGAUUUUUUGUCUGCAUUGGAGAGACAGUUUAAGCUAAGCCUGGGUUUGAUUAACCAUGGAUAUCCUGGGGGUUGUGGGAUUCUCUUUUUUUAAGAAAAUUUCUAAUUAUGUAUGUUUGUUGGAGAAAUUUUUCAAAAUUGCCAAAGGCAAUAAAUAACUAAAAAAUUUUUAAACCGCA